rnacentral:rRNA from 1 species
ACGUUCCCGGGCCUUGUACACACCGCCCGUCACACCACGAAAGUUGGCAACACCCGAAGUCGGUGAGGUAACCUUUAUGGAGCCAGCCGCCGAAGGUGGGGUCGAUGAUUGGGGUGAAGUCGUAACAAGGUAGCCGUAUCGGAAGGUGCGGCUGGAUCACCUCCUUUCUAUGGAGA